rnacentral:rRNA from 1 species
AACGAACGCUGGCGGCAUGCCUAACACAUGCAAGUCGAACGAGACCUUCGGGUCUAGUGGCGCACGGGUGCGUAACGCGUGGGAACCUGCCCUUAGGUUCGGACUAACUCCCCGAAAGGGGUGCUAAUACCGGAUAAUGUCUUCGGACCAAAGAUUUAUCGCCUUUGGAUGGGCCCGCGUUGGAUUAGCUAGUUGGUAGGGUAAAAGCCUACCAAGGCGACGAUCCAUAGCUGGUCUGAGAGGAUGAUCAGCCACACUGGGACUGAGACACGGCCCAGACUCCUACGGGAGGCAGCAGUGGGGAAUAUUGGACGAUGGGCGAAAGCCUGAUCCAGCAAUGCCGCGUGAGUGAUGAAGGCCUUAGGGUUGUAAAGCUCUUUUACCAGGGAUGAUAAUGACAGUACCGGGAGAAUAAGCUCCGGCUAACUCCGU